rnacentral:lncRNA from 1 species
AGCCCGAGAGAGUUCUGGCGAGGGCUGCGGGAAGGAAAGGGGGCGGCGUCCUUCACAGGGAGGGUGCAGCUGACCUCCCUCCCCUUGUGCAGACUGGAAAAGAAUGGCCCAGAUCCUCUGGACUCCUCAGAUGAGCGGAUUCAGAGAGAAGCUUUUGAGAGCGUGCUGGCGGAGACAUUUUUCACAAAAGAGCCCUUGCGGUGCUGGUGUCCGUGGCGUGCCUGGGCCCACCAACGCUGGCCGGCCUCCAAGCACCCGGGCCUCUGCUCAUGUACAGCUCCUGAACUGCCCUGCCUCUGAGUUACUGUGGAAAAUGAGCUUAUAUAUGAAGAAGUCAGCGAGUGGACAAAGCCAGGCGCAAUGGAUAGCAAAGAUGUGGAAGUCUCCUCGAUUCAAGUUACAAGAAAACCGCAGCAUGGAGUCUGCUCUCAGCUGUUGGGGAAUUACCGAUGCCUUUGACUAAGUCAAGACUGACUUUUCCAGAAUAUCACCCAAGAGAUAGAGCCGUCCCUGUCCAAGUUUGUGCGCUAGCCCUUCAUGGAGGUCAGAGAGGAAGAAACAAAGGCAGCUGUGGCCUCGGCGGUCACAGUGUCAGAACGCACAAGCCCCAUAAAGAGGUUUCACGCAGGCCACCCAUCCCUUUUCAUUCUCCAGCAGAACAGGACAGAGAGCGUUCUGUUCUGCGGAAGGUCUUCCACUCUACAAGGCAAUCCCUCCAGCUGCUUUGCUGUAUUGUGCUGUCUCCUGUCACACUAUGAAUGCAGUGACCUCAGCCAGCAACAGGGAGAACCCCCCUGCCUCCCGAACAAAGGACCUCACGUGAAAUCCUGAGCUCAGAGCUUACAGAUAUGUGUGCGCUUUCACUUUACAUCGGCCGUGACUUCCAAACAACUUCAGGAAACUUUAGGAUCUCUGAGGUAUACUGGAGAUGACAGCAGCGUAGAAUGUUCAUUUGGAUUUAGAACAGAAAUGCUUAUUUUAUAUUUGGCUGCUCCCAAACUGUCCCCAGACUUCCUCUCCAGUGGUUACCCUCCACUGCCCUGGAUGUCCCACGUUUACACUCCACACUCACACCUCCACCUUAACAAAGUCCUCCACUGGGUCAAACCAUACAUCGCUUCGUCUCUGUAGUGAUGACUUCCUGUCCUCUGCUCUGUGGAUAAAGACCCCAGAUAAAGAUGCCUGUGUUGCUCAACUCUUGUAAAUACUCUUGAGACAUUUUGAAAGCAGAAGGAAAGGAGACAGACGGGGAAAAUAAAAGGGAUGGUCUGCUUGUGCGGAAACGUUUUGAGAAUGCCCUUCCCUAAGAGAGAACAGUAAAAGUGAGCAAUACUUCCU